rnacentral:lncRNA from 1 species
GAUCAGUGACUACCAAAAUUUUAUGUGAAGACCAACUAUAGUUGUUUUGGAGGAGUGAUAAAGUAGAGAUUAGUGUUGAGUACAAGAAAUUGAGGUAAGAAAUGAUAAAUUUUCAUGAAAUACAUGCUAGUUUUACUUGAAUAACAUAGAUUAUGAUAUGUGGGUAUGAUUUUAAUGUGUAAAUAUUGUAUGUUUUGAUAUGGAAAAUGAAGAAAAAGUGAAGAAAUGUGGGAAAUAAGUGGAGAAUUAAAGCAAGUGAGGAGCCAAAGAAAGAAGAAGAAGAAGAAGAAGAAGAAGAAGAAGAAGAAGAAGAAGAAGAAGAAGAAGAAGAAGAAGAAGAAGAAAGCUUGAUACCAAACUUUGAGUUGUAAGUACAACUAAAGUUUCAUUUAUUUUAAACAUGUUAAUUGUUAAGGUCUAUUAAGUGAAUAAAAGUCUUGUUAUGAUAUUUAAUUAUAUACUUACUUGAAGAGUAAGACAUGAUAAGGGUUAAAUAUACGUAAAUAAUGAAUUCAUUUUAUUUACUAAGUAAUAUGUAAAAGAGAAAAUGAAAGAAAAGUAAGUAAAAGGACUAAAUUGUAAAAAGAUGAUAAAGUUGAUGGAAUUGUAACCAACAUAAGUAAAUGAGUAUACGAAGUAAAAUAUGAGAAUGAUUGAUGUGUGGAAUGAUAUAGUAAUAUUAUGAGUAUAUUUGAUGAAGUAUGAAAAAGAAAGGACUAAAUUGUAAGAUAUGUAAAAGUGACAUGUGAUAAAUUUGAUAAGAAUCAAUAGGGAAUUAUGGAAAUUUUAUUAAAUUAUGAUAUAUGCUAUGUGUAUUAAAAAGAAUGAAAGUUCGGAAUAUUGUGUUACAGUUACAAUGACUAAUUUGAAAUAAAUGUAAAGUAUUCGAAUUCUGUUCUGAAAUGUGAAAAUAUAAUCGACUAUGCCCAAUUAGACAAGAUAAGAAAUAGUGGGAUGUAGAUGGCAUGCCAUUAAGGAAGAUUUAGUGCGCUAUCUAUUUAUGCACUUUGGUGUUGUCCUGUUACACGUUUCGACGUUGUUUUACUCUGUUCUGUAUAUCUUAUGUGUUCUGUUAAGUCUACUGGGCUUCUAUAAAAAGGUAAAAGGUUUCCUAUGUUAAAUGUUAAAGUAUAGUAUCUGUUAAAUGAAGGAAUAAGGAUUAAAUAUAUUGAAAUGGGACUAAAUUGUGAUACGAUAAACAAUAGCAAUAGAUGAAAACAUGUAACAAUUGAAUGGUAAGUUAAAGUUAAUUAUGAAUACAAGUUCUGAAUAAUAUUAUGAAAAUGAUCAUAAAAAAAUUAUUUUUUUAGUGUGGAUAAAAUGUUAUUUAUCUUUAGAUUGUGCUUAUUAAGCUAGCAAUAGCUUAACAAGUGUUUUAUAUGUGUAGGUAAAGAGUAGAAGUAAGGAUUUUUGAAGACCAGAAGUAUCUCAUCACAUCACAUCAGCUAAUUCAAGGAAAAGAGUAAAUUUUCUUCUCUGUUUUGUUUCUAUAAAUGGCGUGUACCUAGGUAUGUUUAAAGGUUAAAAAAGCUUGAGGGACUUAAGUGUAAAACUUAUACUUGUUUAAAUUUGUGGUAAAACUUACUUGAUUAUGAGCAAUAUAUUAGAUUAUAAGGAAUUGAGCUUGAAAUGCAUAAUGGAUAUGUGAUUUGGUUGGUUUAAAUUGUCAAUUAAACAAGGGCUAGAAUGGGUAAAAUAUGAAGGAUUAAUCUAGUAAAUAAACCUUUGUUUGAAAAAGAACACAGAACCUCAUUUUGGUACCGAUACUAGGUAUAAAGUAUCGAUACUGAAGAGGAAGUAUCGAUACCUUAUCCUAUGUAUAAAUACUUUGGGUACUUUUUCUGAAUUUUUCAAAUUCCAAAGCUCAAAACGGUAUCGAUACCCAAGCCAAUGUAUCGAUACCACUGGUAAAGGUAUCGAUACCUAUCCCCUAAAACAACUCAAAAAUUUCAAAAAUACUGAUAUGUGAAGUUAUUUGAAGAUUUAACUAGUAUUAUUCAAAUUGUUUCGAAAAUGUUGUGUUAGUAAAAUCAAAUUGAUUGCGGUAAAUGAAUCGGUUUAUUAGUUCCAGACAUGGUUGCUCUGCCAUCAAAUGUGACAUUCCUAUACUGUGACCCAAUGAUUAAGUCGGGUAUAGGAAUGUUACAUUUAGUGGUACCAGAGCCUAAGUUUUUUAAUCCUAAGGACGAAAAUGAGUCUAGAGGUACAUGCCAUUUGAUAUAUUUAUGUGAUAAAAUGUGAAUUUUGCUUAUUGAUAAUGUUAAACUAUGUUAUAUAGAUUGAAUAUGUCAUAAAAUACUAGGGAAACUUCGAGUAAAGAAGUAGAGAGUAAGGCUUCUAAUUCUAAUAGAGAAGAACAUAUAUCGAGAUAACCUGUAAGAACAAGAUCAGAACAAAGACAAUAAGUCUAAUAGAGAAAGAAGAAAUGAACCAGAAUUAGUAAAUGUUAGAGGACAGACACAAGAAGCAUUCUUUCAAACUUUAACUCAACUUCUGCAACAAUUUAUAAGAAGUAAUGUCCCUUUAGUUCCUCCUCCAUCUCUUUCCCCUUCUACACAAGAACCUUGGCUCUAACAACAAGCUUCUGUUUCAAGUCAACGACCUCCUCUCAAGAGAGUUAGAAAGCAUGGAGCUAAAGACUUUCGAGGUAAGAAACAGAUGAUCCUAUUAUAAUUGAGUACUGGUUAGAAAACAGUUAGAGAAUAUUUGAAUAAUUAGAAUGCUCAGAUGAAGAUAAGCUAAGAUGUGUUGUGUCAUUACAUGAUAUUUCUUUUUAUCAGAAUUUAAAAAUAAUUUUGUAGGUCGGUUGUAUUUGGAAAACAAGAAGCGAGAACUCAUUGAAUUGAAGGAAAAUUAAAUGAAUGUAUCAAAAUAUGAGAAGGAAUUUGUGAGAUUGAGUAAAUAUGCUCAAAAACUGGUGACUACUGAAUCUGAUAUGUAUAGAAGAUUUGAGUGGGGGUUGAAUGAAGAUCUUUAUGUAUAUGUUGUGGGGCUGAAUUUUGAAGAUUUCUCAUCUCUAGUUGAAAGAGCACAAAGAAUAGAAGAAGGGAUGAAAAGACAGAGUGAUAAGAACUUGGGACAAAGAGUAGCAACAAGUUCUAAAGCUCCAUCUGUAACAAAGAAAGUAAGAGAUCUUCGAGAGUCUGGAAACAUAUCUUUUACUUCUGGGCAGAGAUCCAAAUGACAAGAAAGAUGAAGUCAACAAACUACAUUAGUUACUAGUACUAAGGGAGUUAGAAGAAGGCCUAUUCCGACAUGUGAACAUUGUGGCAAAUCAUAUUAUAGAGAAUGACGAUUGAUUACCGGAGCUUGCUUUAGGAUUGUCCAAUAAUGACAAAGAAUAAUGUUGAAUACCCUAUGAACAUUGCCAAAGUUCAGUCAAAAGGUAAACAAUCAGGAACAGUAAGUGAGAAACAUGGAAAAGAAGCAACAAAUCGAUCAAAGUUUCAAAUUAUACCACGAGCUUAUGCCAUUCAAACUUGAGGAGGAAAAGAUGAUGAUCUUGAUAUGAUGACGGGUAUUAUUUCUUAAAUUGAUACUUUUAUGCUUGCAUUAAUUGAUAAUGAUUUUGUUCAUUUAUACAUAUUAGUGCUGCAUUGAUAAAAGCAUCAUUAGUGGAGUAUGCUAGAAAGGAUGAUCUGAAUAUUAAUCUUUCUGGGUGAAGUGAAAUGGAAGGAAAAACAUAUGAAUAGUGGUUUUGAGAAGUUUUAGAUUAUGAACUCUUUAUUAGUCUUACGGAUUUAUUGCCGUACUUGACAUGAUUUGAACAUUGGAAUGUGGAUAAAGACUUGGUUGAAAUUUUAUUUCUGCUUGGAAAUUCUUUCUAUAAUUCGAUGGUUAGCUUAAAUUAGUAAAUCAAAUACAGGUAUAGAAAUUAUAUUAUUGAAUCUGGGGAUUUUUAGACUACAUGAGAAUUCUGAAGUAAAUGGUAUUAAUGGUCAGUGAUUUGAAAAUGAUUUAUGAUAUUUCAUGCAUGAUAUUGGAAAGUACUGGUUUAAAUUAUUAUAUGUGAUAGCUUUAGAAGAUACUGAAGGCAUUUGGAAAAGUUUGUAUAUUGAGAAAAAUCUAGCCGGGAUUUUAGUAUCGCUUUGUAAAAAUUUCUUUUAAAUUUGAUGAAUUAGUUUAAAUUAAUGGUUCAGAAAUUGAGAGACAAGUUUAGAAAUUACAUUAUUGAGUCUGGAGAUUAUUGAACUGCAUGAGUAUUUUUCAAAAAUUUCAAAUUUUGAAGCUCAAAACGGUAUUGAUACUUGACAUGGGUAUUGAUACCUGAUGUGUGUCACGUUACUAACUAAAUGUAACACCCCGGAAUUUGGGGUUAGAAGUUUUGAGAUUUGUGUUUAGGGUCAGUGAGUAGGUUGAUUGAGUUGAUUUUCACGUUUUAAUGUUAGGAUGAGCUUGUUGGUUCGGUGGUUGGAUGUGUGUCCUUUAGGUUAUGGGUUCAAAUCCUCAUGUGUGUUUGAGGAAUUAUUUUUUUUUUGAGUUUUGUUUUUUAAGUUAUAUAUAUAAUUUAUUUUAUUGCAUUUUUAUUUUUGGAAAAAAAUAAGUUGUUUCUAAAAUUCUUUUGAACGUUCUCUUUCCCCAUUUUUUUUUGGUUUCCUCUCUUUUUCCACAUUCUUGCUAUUCUUUUUGGUUAUUCUACCUUUCUCUCUUUUGUGGUUGGUGAAUUAAUUACCGCUGUAUUUUUGUUCUCUAAACAAAUUUUGGGUUUUAGUAUCGACGUUGUUGGCUGAUUAUCCUUAUGUGUUACGUUUGAUUGGGUGCGAAAUUGGGUUUUCGAAUGGUUUGGUGGAGCGAAUCGAGCAGUUCUCGGUGCUUGUUAUUGCAUUCUAAGGUGUGUGUUCUGAAACUGUUCAAUUUCGGUAUCAAAUUGUUGUUGGAUCCUAUGGAAUUCGGCAACUUGUUGUAUGUUCCUGAAACUGUUGAUUUUGGGUAUUGGAUUACAUGUUAUUCUAUAAAUUCUAGUAUAAUUCUGAGUUACUAAGUGUUGGGGGCCAUUUUGAUGUCAAAACCAUGAUUUUUAGCCUGUUUCAGUGUGGUUUCGUGACCACACUGGUGGUAACAUGGGCGUGUACCGCACACGGGGCGGUCCACACGGCCUUGUGAAAUUUAUAAUUAGGGUUUUUGGGUGAUUUUUGGUGCCACAUGAUCUUGUGGGUACAAUUUGGGGAUUUUAUCGAUUUUCACACGGGCGUGUGAGAUUUCCACACGAUCAUGUCCACUCUACACUUAAUUUUAGCACUUUUAGACAGUGAGUUACAUGAGCUGCUUACACGGGCGUGUGUGGCCUUCAUAUGGGCGUGUGAGCUGGGCACUUCCAUACAGCCGGGACACACGAUCGUGUGGCUCUAUUUUGUCAAUUUUUAUACUGUGUUUGUUUUUGUUCUGAUUAUGAUUCUGUGUGUUCCGACCCUUGACUAGGUCUUAGUAAGGGUGGUCGAGACUUUGUUUCGGCCUAGAUAUGUGCGUUAUUGGCAAUCAUAGCUCUAAUUAAGCGAUUCGAUUGAGUGUUAAUUGAUGUUAUGUUAUAUCUAAUUCUGAUUCUAGGCAUUUGAAUGUGUGCAUUUUUUAUUUCAUAUUUUGUUUCUGUAAGUUUGUCUAUGAAUGGUGUGCAUUUUGCAUUUGCAUUAAUCUUUUUGGGUUGGGUUGUGAAGAGAAGGAAGAUUAAUUCUGAUCUGGCAGUUUAACUACAACUUAUCGGUACAGCGAUUUACCGCAAUACACUGUACUGCAUAUACGCCAGCCUUGCUACGUAUUAUUAUCUGAGUGGCUUAGUCCACAUACAUGGUGUGUAGCGCUGGAUGGGCCUUUCGAGGUCCUAUGUGGUGUAUUUGGUUGGAUGAGCUUAUAUGUGGUGUAUUUGGUUGGAUGAGCUUAAACAACUCUUUUGGGGUGUGAUCGAGGGAUGAAGAGGUUUUUUGGUUGGACGGGUGGGGUUUUUUUUAUUGCUUAUUGCAUUCAUUUCGUAUUUUGUCUGUAUGUCUGGUUACGAGACUAACUGUUUAUAGAUCAAGGUGUUUCAGUACUGAUACGUUUGAUUUGUUUGUGAAGACUAUUCGUAUAUCGGAUUGCCAUUGAGAUAUUUUUUUUAUUGUGACACUUUGGUGUUCAUUUUUUUGUCGUUUUCGAAGUCACAUUGAGCUCGUGUAGCUCACCCCCUUAGUUGAUUCCUUUGCAGGUACCCUCAUUUUCUAUAGCUGGACUUGGAAUGCUGGAGGUCUCGGAGUGAUAUGUUCUACACGGACUAAUAAAACGACUUUUAAAACUUUUUAAAUUUGUGAACUGUUUAGGACUGUAAACAUCUAUAAAGACUGUGGUACAAUCAAAUUUUGGAUUUUCGUAAAUAGUUUUGUUUUUAAUUCUAGAAACUUGAAACUUUACUUCUGAACGCC